GGGCGGGCUGUUUAAGAAGUACUCUGUGUGUGUACUUUGAGUGUGUAUUUUGUACUUUGUGUGUGUGCAUGUGUGUGUUAAGAGGGGAGCCUGGCUGUGCUAUGGGCGAGUCUGUUUGUGUGUAGUGGGAGGAGAGACUGGGCCAGGUGGAGGAAGGUGGUGGAAGGGUCCUGCACUCAUAGCCCUGUCCCUUGGCUUGGGACACUGCCACUUGCCCUCUUUGUCAGAUGUAGACACUGAAGCCCAGCCUCACCUGCAUAUUCAGGGUGGCUGAGCUUGGCCUUGAACCUGGGGCUGGCCGCCCUUUAUCCCUGAUUCCUGGGCCCUGAUCCCUCUCCCCCCUCCUGCCCCUCCCUGCUGCCCCCCCAGUCCUGGCCGGCAUUCCUGAGAGCUGAGGAUGUCCAUGGAGGGGUGUCGGCAUCCUCUGGUGCCUGGCACGCCAGAGGUGUUAUAUAAGCGUUUGCUCUUGUUAUUAUUUUUUGCUGGGAGGCUGCUGGCAUUUGGCACCCGGGUCUUCAGCGCAGUGUGAGUGUGUCAGGUGCUUGCCAGAGAUCUGCCCUGCCUCAUUUCAUGACAACCUCCAGAAAGGCUUGUACCAGAUCCUUGGAAGCAAUGGAAACUUCUCUGCUAACCUCAAAGUCCUGCCCUCCUGGCCCCUGUGACCCACUAAGGGGUCCCUAGAUUUGGAACUGGGGAUUGAACUCGGGACCUUCCGCUUGCAAGGCAGGCAGCAGAACCACUGAGCUAAAUCCCUGGCUCAGGGUCCCUGGAUUUGGAAACAGAGUGUCAGAUGCUGCUGCAGCUCACAGCGCAUGUUGGCUGCCUUGCUGGAACCAGAUGCCCCACACCACCCUGAAUAACCCCUCUGGCCCAUGGCACCACCACCAGCUACCACCUGCUCCACCAAGACCUCGGCGUGCCAGGCCUGGAGGUACCUUUGCCAGGCUGCCUGGGGCCAUCCGGGCCGAGGUCUCUGUGAGUGUGACGAGCACAGGGAGUCACGCACACAGGGGUCAGCUCUGUGGACGCCUGUGCUCUAGUCACGGGACACAUCCUGCCAGCUGACCUCAGGGGCUCACUCUCCUGACUUCUAACAGCAAGCAUCGGUACUGCCUGCUUCUGUGCUGCCAAUAAAAGGACUCACACAGCAGA